UGCUUCCUUUGGCAGUACAUUUACUAAUUUAGAAUGAUACAGAGAUUAGCCUGACCCCUGCAAAAGGGUGCCAUGCAAAUUUGUGAAGUGUCCCAUAUUUAA